rnacentral:lncRNA from 1 species
UUUUGGGGAUGUUUUGACGGAGCAUCGCUGUUGCUCUAGAUUUUUCCUUUUCCAUUUCAGUCCGUAUUGUUCGACUGCUUGUGGAGGUUGCUUUCGAUUUUGCUACUGAUGUUCUGACCGGAAUCUAUGGCUUGGGUUGUCGGAAUCUGGGCUGGGUCCUGUGUUUUUCGAUGCAGCUCGCCGGAGAUUUUCAGGCCAGUCAAUAGCAAUUCGCCGGUCUAUUCCAUUAGGGGCCACGUGGUGCUGAUCUCAAUUAACUUGGUGAGUACCAUCGUGGGUUGUUUUGCUGACUUAGGGGUCCCACGUGGCUAAUUUGAAAUUUGACUUUCUAUUUUGGCUGAUGUUUAGUCCCGCCCUUUUUUCUGGAUUAUUUCAAUUGUUCAUAUUAUUCCCA